rnacentral:lncRNA from 1 species
CAGAACCUGAUGGCUUCCUCAGAGCUGUGAAAUGUUUUUAUUCCACACCACUGGGUCCCACCCUGGCAAGGGAGCAAAAAUGUGCUUCUGCUGCCAGCCCAGAGGAGGGUGUUGCUAGAGCUCAGACUCCUGCUUCUACCACCUCCACAACUUCUAUCCCUAAUAAAUUCUACUACACCCAAAUCAGAAGUGCACUCACAAGAGCAGAAGCUUUGGGCCUGCAGGUGUCAUAUGGACAGCUUGGUCAGUGGGGACCUUGGGAAACUACUCAGAUAUUUUAGCACUUCAGUCCUAAGUACUUCAUCUGAAUCUAAAGCGCUUGGUUUGAGCUUCGUGGUGCACUGCAUCCUGAGUCUUCAGCUGCCUGAGUUUCUGUCCCUUCCUACCUCAUGCCAGUCACCCCUGCCAAUGGAAGUGAGUUGA